ensembl:snRNA U6 U6 spliceosomal RNA
AUUCUCUUCAGCAGAAUAUAUACGAACAUUGGAGCAAUAAAGAAAAGAUGAGUAUGACUCCUUUAAAAGGAUGACAUGCAAUUUUAUGAAACAUUCCAUAUUCUU